UUUGGGAGGCCAACGCAGGAGGAUCACUUGAGCCCAGGAGUUCAACAUUAGCCUGGGCAACACAGUGAGACCUUGUGUCUACAAAAA
rnacentral:miRNA from 1 species